rnacentral:rRNA from 1 species
AGCCUGAACGCUGGCGGCGUGGCUAAGACAUGCAAGUCGUACGGAUGUAGCAAUACAUCAGUGGCGAACGGGUGAGUAAUGUAUCGCUAACGUGCCCCCGGACUCUGGGAUAGCUAUCCGAAAGGGUAGGUAAUACCAGAUGAUAUGCACUAAUCGCAUGAUUGGUGCCUCAAAGGUCCGCCGGUCUGGGAGCGGGCGAUAUCGUAUCAGCUAGUUGGUAGGGUAACGGCCUACCAAGGCGACGACGCGUAGCCGGACUGAGAGGUUGGCCGGCCACAUUGGGACUGAGAUACUGCCCAGACUCCUACGGGGGGCUGCAGUAACGAAUCUUCCGCAAUGCACGAAAGUGUGACGGAGCGACGCCGCGUGUGGGACGAAGUCCUUCGGGAUGUAAACCACUGUCAGGGGUUAGAAAGUUCUGAUCAACCCCAGAGGAAGGCACGGCUAACUCUGUGCCAGCAGCCGCGGU